rnacentral:rRNA from 1 species
AUGCACGCUGGCGGCGUGCCUAAUACCUGCAAGUCGCGCGAACAGACGAGGAGCUUGCUCCUCUGACGUUAGCGGCGGACGGGUGAGUAACACGUGGAUAACCUACCUAUAAGACUGGGAUAACUUCGGGAAACCGGAGCUAAUACCGGAUAAUAUAUUGAACCGCAUGGUUCAAUAGUGAAAGACGGUUUUGCUGUCACUUAUAGAUGGAUCCGCGCCGCAUUAGCUAGUUGGUAAGGUAACGGCUUACCAAGGCAACGAUGCGUAGCCAACCUGAGAGGGUGAUCGGCCACACUGGAACUGAGACACGGUCCAGACUCCUACGGGAGGCAGCAGUAGGGAAUCUUCCGCAAUGGGCGAAAGCCUGACGGAGCAACGCCGCGUGAGUGAUGAAGGUCUUCGGAUCGUAAAACUCUGUUAUUAGGGAAGAACAAAUGUGUAAGUAACUAUGCACGUCUUGACGGUACCUAAUCAGAAAGCCACGGCUAACUACGUG